rnacentral:pre_miRNA from 1 species
GCCCGGAUUCUGUGGGAGCUGCGCCGUUCUUUCUAUCCGUAGCACCACAUGAUUCGGCUU